UACGAACCGUACAAACGUUAUUCGGAAUCACUGGGCUUAAAGGGUGCGUAGGCGGCCAUGUAAGUGAGGUGUGAAAUCCCUCGGCUCAACCGAGGACUGCGCUUCAUACUGCAUGGCUUGAGGGAGACAGGGGUCAGCGGAACUGAUGGUGGAGCGGUGAAAUGCGUUGAUAUCAUCAGGAACACCGGUGGCGAAAGCGGCUGACUGGGUCUCUUCUGACGCUGAGGUACGAAAGCAGGG
rnacentral:rRNA from 1 species